CUAAGCGCCGGGCCCGUGCCUGUUUUGUUCCUCCAGAAGCUGUGCAUGGAAGGGAGGGGGCUGGAACACGAAACUGCCUGUGUUUCAACCUGCCACUGACGCUCUCUAGCAACGCGACCUUGGCUUGUCAGGAACGACCAGGUGGCAGAUACACGUCAAGAAAACUAAUCAUCUUCUAACAGGAUUUGGAAUGGAAUUAACGCGGCUCUUGUGCCCUUCCUGUUCCAGCUUUAGCAGCCUAAGGUCCAUGACUGCUCAGAGAUUAGCGGGCUGGCAAUCGCACCCCACGGCAUCUCUGGGUCCGGGUUCUCUCUGCGGACCCUAGGCAAUGAGUUUUGUGAGAUUCAACAGUCGAGUUUCUCGGAGACAGAGCUUGGGUUUGUGAUUGAAACUGGCCAACCCAUCCAGGGAUGCCCAGUGAGACAAACGCACCUCCUGUUUUUGAGGUGAUGACACUGGCCUAGAAGGCCGCGAAGUCAACAAGUCGAUCCUGCCAGACAAGUUUCUGGACGCCUCUAAACCUCCGGGACGCCGCGGUGCGUCAACCACAUGCGGUCGAGGAGUCAUUUGAAGAGAGAGCGCUGAGUGCUGUCAAUACUGCCAGGCGUCCUCGAGUGGUUCUUCCAGCCCUCG
rnacentral:lncRNA from 1 species